rnacentral:rRNA from 1 species
AGCGCAGACGGCGAAGCAAGUCUGAAGUGAAAUGCAUGGGCUCAACCCAUGAAUUGCUUUGGAAACUGUUUGGCUUGAGUGUCGGAGGGGUAAGCGGAAUUCCUAGUGUAGCGGUGAAAUGCGUAGAUAUUAGGAGGAACACCGGAGGCGAAGGCGGCUUACUGGACGACAACUGACGUUGAGGCUCGAAGGCGUGGGGAGCAAACAG